GGGUCAGCAGGUUGGUCGUGCCUAUGGUAUGCACUGGCCUUGCUGAUUCCUCCCUCUUGAUGAGCCGUAAUGUCAUUAAUUUGGUGUUGCGGGGAAUCAGGACUGUUACUUUGAAAAAAUUAGAGUGUUUAAAGCAGGCGCAUGCUUGAAUACAUUAGCAUGGAAUAAUAAAAUAGGACUUCUGUUCUAUUUUGUUGGUUUCUAGGACCGAAGUA
rnacentral:rRNA from 1 species